ACGUGUGUCAUAGGCUAGACCACCCAGGUCUGUGCUGGCAGCCAAAGGUUCUAGAGCCAAUAUGUGUCAUAGGCUAGACCACCCAGGCCUGUGCUGGCAGCCACAGACUCUAUAGCCGAUGUGUGUCAUAGGCUAGACCACGCAGGUCUGUGCUGGCGGCCACAGGCUCUACUGCCGACGUGUGUCAUAGGUUAGACCACCCAGGUCUGUGCUGGCAGCCACAGGCUCUAUAGCCGAUGUGUGUCAUAGGCUAGACCACCCAGGUCUGUGCUGGCAUCCAAAGGUUCUAGAGCCAAUGUGUGUCAUAGGCUAGACCACCCAGGCCUGUGCUGGCAGCCACAGGCUCUACAGCUGACAUGUGUAGGAGGCUAGACCAUCCAGGUCUGUGCUGGCAGCCACAGGCUCUACAGUCGACGUGUGUAGGAGGCUAGACCACCCAGAAAGGAGUCCAUGUGGGACACAGUAACUGCUGUGUAAUACUAUCUGGUCUCAUGAGCGUCACAUACAAGAUCUACUGAAUUUCUACAAUUCUGAGAUGCAGAGAGGACAGGCAAUGAACAGAAAAGGUUUUGAAGAGUAAAUUAUUGCCAAGGCCACAUAGCAGGCAAUCUGGAUUUUCCAGGCAAGAUAUCAAUGAACUCUCACGAUGGCUCUGACAGGGGUCCUGCUUCUUAUCUUUACGUCGUUGACAAGAAAGCUGCACCUUAAGAGGCUUUAAAGACUGCCCCGCAUCCCACAGAGCUGGGGUUUUAAUAGAGGUGGGUGUCGCCUCGGCCCCACACAUCAUUCCCCAUAAAGCCCUACACAAAAUGCCCCCAGAUGGGAGCCUUCCAAAUCCCUAACAGGCAGUCCAGCAGAACACUGACCUGAGACUCAGAAGACCUGCGUCUGAAAUGAGGCUCUACCUCUGCGUCGGUGUGAGGACCUCAGCAGGCCUGUGGCGUCCCUCAUCCUGUCCCCGUGUGUGUUCGUGAACACGAGACCCGUUCCACCACCUGCACAGGCUGACGGCCAGGCUCAAGCCAGAUGCUGGAUCUACGUGCCGUGUGGACCAACAAGCACUCAGCAAGCGUAAGACGAAAAACCUUCUGUACCGCACGCCAGCUCGGGGGCCGUCCGAGCUCCACUUGAAUACUUCCAGGGACGGGGAGCUCACCGCUUCCUUUAGCAGCUUGUUCUAGUUAGUUUCUCCCUUGGUAACGGCCAAAGGGACUCGUCUAUAGUUCCACGGCCCCCGCCCAGGCAGGUCUUCCAGUGCUCGGCCGGCCGGCUAGGAAGAAUCAUUGCGGCGCCCACAGCAGCUACGAAAACCCGUAAGGGCUGCGGUCCUCGCUCCUGCCAUUCUGCCCUGGGCUCCCCGACCCAGGAGGAGGCAGGUGAAAGCGCCGAUGUUCCUGGCUUGCUCCGGCUCCUCUCCGACUGCUACCUCUUUACCUGUCCCUGCUUAUCAGACUCCUGGGCCCGGAGGAGAUGACUGAGAUCAAGGAAGGAAGGGGAGGCUGCUGAAGAAACUGUUGGCUGCUCCAGCCUCACACACUUCCUAAUGCCCCCCGCCUUUGCAAACACCUGGGGUGCUCCUGCGUUUCCUGUCACCCCUCGAGCUGGCCCUUGGGCUCUGAGGUCAGGAUCCCAUGGACCUUGGACCACUUCCUUUCUUCCCCAAUCCCAACCCCACAGCAACCAUCAGUCACUCUGAUACCUUAAAAGACUCCAGGAA